rnacentral:rRNA from 1 species
AACGAACGCUGGCGGCAGGCUUAACACAUGCAAGUCGAGCGCCCCGCAAGGGGAGCGGCAGACGGGUGAGUAACGCGUGGGAAUCUACCCAUCUCUACGGAAUAACGCAUGGAAACGUGUGCUAAUACCGUAUGCGUCCUUCGGGAGACAGAUUUAUCGGAGAUGGAUGAGCCCGCGUUGGAUUAGCUAGUUGGUGGGGUAAAGGCCUACUAAGGCGACGAUCCAUCGCUGGUCUGAGAGGAGGAUCAGCCACACUGGGACUGAGACACGGCCCAGACGCCGACGGGAGGCAGCAGUGGGGAAUAUUGGACAAUGGGCGCAAGCCUGAUCCAGCCAUGCCGCGUGAGUGAUGAAGGCCCUAGGGUUGUAAAGCUCUUUCACCGGUGAAGAUAAUGACGGUAACCGGAGAAGAAGCCCCGGCUAACUGCGUGCCAGCCGCCGCGGUAAAAC